CCGUGUAGUGCGGGAGCUGGGAUGCGGCUGCGGGCGCCAGAGCCGAGGAGCAGCUCCAGGCGCGCGGUCUAGCCGGACUAGAAGAGGGGGUGGCCAGGUGGCGACAGGUUUCUCUGGGCGGGCGCGCGAUGCAGCGGGCGGCGGCGCUGGUCCGGCGGGGCUGCUACCCCCGGACCCUCGGCCCCUGGGGCCGUGGUCAGAGCAGCGCGGCCGCCGAGGCCUCGGCGGUGCUCAAGGUGCGGCCCGAGCGGAGCCGGCGCGACCGCAUCCUUACGCUCGAGUCCAUGAACCCGCAGGUGAAGGCGGUGGAGUACGCGGUGCGGGGACCCAUCGUGCUCAAGGCCGGCGAGAUCGAGCUCGAGCUGCAGAGGGGUAUCAAAAAACCAUUCACUGAGGUCAUCCGUGCCAACAUCGGGGAUGCCCAAGCCAUGGGCCAGCAGCCAAUCACCUUCCUCCGACAGGUGAUGGCACUCUGUACCUACCCGAACCUGUUGGACAGCCCCAGCUUCCCAGAAGAUGCUAAGAAACGAGCCCGGCGGAUCCUACAGGCUUGUGGCGGAAACAGCUUGGGAUCUUACAGCGCUAGCCAGGGCGUCAACUGCAUCCGUGAAGAUGUGGCUGCCUAUGUCACCAGGAGAGAUGGUGGUGUACCUGCAGACCCGGACAACAUUUACCUGACCACUGGAGCUAGUGACGGCAUUUCCACGAUCCUGAAGAUCCUGGUCUCCGGGGGUGGCAAGUCACGGACGGGUGUGAUGAUACCCAUCCCGCAGUACCCCCUCUACUCGGCGGUCAUCUCUGAACUCGAUGCCAUCCAGGUGAACUAUUACCUGGAUGAGGACAACUGCUGGGCCCUAAACGUGAAUGAGCUCCGGCGGGCCGUGCGGGAGGCCAAAGAGCACUGUGACCCCAAGGUGCUGUGCAUCAUCAACCCCGGGAACCCCACAGGUCAGGUGCAGAGCAGAAAGUGCAUAGAAGAAGUGAUUCACUUUGCCUGGGAAGAGAAGCUCUUUCUCCUGGCUGAUGAGGUGUACCAGGACAACGUGUACUCUCCAGACUGCAGAUUUCACUCCUUUAAGAAGGUGCUUUACGAGAUGGGGCCCGAGUACUCCAGCAACGUGGAACUCGCCUCCUUCCACUCCACCUCCAAGGGCUACAUGGGCGAGUGUGGCUACAGAGGAGGCUACAUGGAGGUGAUCAACCUGCACCCUGAGAUCAAGGGCCAGCUGGUAAAGCUGCUCUCGGUGCGUCUGUGCCCGCCAGUGUCUGGGCAGGCUGCCAUGGACAUCGUUGUGAACCCCCCGGUGCCAGGAGAGGAAUCCUUCGAGCAGUUCAGCAGGGAGAAAGAGUCCGUCUUGGGUAAUCUGGCCAGAAAAGCUAAGCUGACAGAAGACCUGUUUAACCAAGUCCCAGGAAUUCACUGCAACCCCUUGCAGGGGGCCAUGUACGCCUUUCCUCGAAUCUUCAUCCCUGCCAAAGCCAUGGAGGCAGCUCAGGUCAGGGGUGCCAGGCCCAUAAGAUGGCCCCCGACAUGUUCUACUGCAUGAAGCUCCUGGAGGAGACAGGCAUCUGUGUCGUGCCCGGCAGUGGCUUUGGGCAGAGGGAAGGCACCUACCACUUCAGAAUGACCAUUCUUCCUCCGGUGGAGAAGCUAAAGACGGUUCUACAGAAGGUGAAGGACUUUCACAUAAAGUUCCUGGAGAAGUACGCGUGACGACUCCUCAGGCCCCAGAGGGAGACCUGGCCCUCAGCCUUCCUCCUGAUGCCCACCCAGCCCAGACUGGAUUCGCCCCCCCAGCGACUCCGCCUCAGGCCUUACGAAGGCCACUGGUCGCUUUCAUCGUCAUUUUGCCCCAGGAGACUUCUUUCUUUGUGCCUUGAUGUUGGGAGCACCUCUCUUCUGAGCAAAUGUGAAUUGGGGUUGUCUCAGAAGCCCUGUUUUUUGAUGCAACCAAAGUAGAGGGGACUUGCUCAGCAUAUAUGGUGGUGUUCUCUGAAUCUGUUGUUGUUGCUUUUGGAAAAGUCUUUUGGGGUUGAAACAACCAGGGUGUGUUGGGUGAGCUGUUUCAGAUCUGGAGAAACAAGGUGUCGGGAAAUGUAUAACUUAACCAUGGUGAGGACUGGAAAUCACAAACUCACCACCAUGAUCUGUGAAAUAAAACCUUUAGCAGUAUGAAAAUCUAGUCCUUCAAACAGGAGAGCCUAGAGUCCACUGGAGGCUCCGAGAGGGCCCGCCCUUCUGACCUGGAGGCAGGCAGCCUGCUCUCAGACAAGAAUGGUAAGGGCAGCAGCACACGGGGCUGGACCGCAUGCCAGACUAGGUGGUGGCGGGCAGCGGGGGCUAUGGCCAAGGUCAGAGGGUCCUGCAGGGGAGGAGUGGGUGUGAGCCAGGCUCCGAUUUGAACCGGGCCUCCACGUGGGAGCACACAGCAGGUAGUGAGGACUCUGCACACACGAGGGCUUUGGGUGAAGGGUUCUCUUGGGCACGCUUAGGCUGGGACGCCCGUCCAGGGAUCUCCUUGGACUCCAGGGGCACAGGGUUCAGCCCAGCAAUAUCCCAGUCACGUAGAGGGAUUCUACCUGGUGGUGUGUGGAUCCAUCCCACUGUUACCCAGCAAACAAGCAGUCUCAUCCAAGGGCUUGAGUGAGCCUUUAGGUGAUAGUAGGGCAAGGAAACACCGAAAAUGUCCUAGUGAGGGAGGGGUAUCCUUAAGGACAUGAAGACAGUUAAACCACACACCCUUCCCAUAGUGUUUGUUGAGUUGUUUCAAGCGGAAUUUGGUCCAUUUCCUAGCUCUUAAUUGGUCAAAGUGCCUGGUAGCGUGGCUGCUGUGUACAUGUGAUCCGAUUCAAAGUUUAUAGAAGUAUUUUACCUUAUAUGCAAAGUGUUUUGCCUCCACAUCUGCUUCUGGCUCCCCUCCCAGACUCUGCAGACUGUCCUGUAGCAUCAGUCAUCUCUCGGGGGGGGGGGGGGGAGUUGGGGGAUCAUCCACCAAGUGCACAGUUUCCCUGGUAUGAGCAAACCUGGGUGCAGGGCCCAACCUGUGCCCCCAGAAAGUGGGCACUACGGGUGGCAGCAGGCUUACGCCCUCUUUUCCUACUGUGGGCCUUCCCUGGUGGGCAGUUAGGGAAGCCAAGGCCAGCUCAGGAGUCUGGGGAUCCAGCAAGUCCCAAAGUGGAAUUGAAGGGACUGGAGAGAAAUCUGAAAAGACUAAAGGAGUGAGCUUUGAAAGCAGCCUCCUGUGCUAUAAUUCCCAUGCCGGGUCCAUGCAGGGGAUGCAAUAGGAAACUUCAAACUGUCCUUACCACUAGCAUUACAGUCCCUAUGAAGAAAGUAGCCACAAUCUCAAGUAACAAAGGGAAUGUUUGGGGACUUUUUCUUCCUUAAAAAUUUGAGAAAAUUGCACUUGUGCUUGUUGAUGGUAUAAAAACCAGGAUGUGUCCCAGAGUUGUGAGAUUUCUGGUGGAAAGGUUAAAUAGUAGAAGCUAGUAUAUUUUUUAUAUUUUUGUAACAAUUGCUUUUUUCAUGGGGGGUGGGGUAGGGUUAGUAUUUGUAGUUUUAACAAGUCCAGUAGUUUUUUUAAUAAAUCUCUUCAGAUUAUAAAUAACCCCUAAAAACUUUGCAAUGUUUACAUGAUUUUUUAAAAAAGAUGUCAUAUACACUUGGUUUGGUUUUAAAAUAAAUGAGUAAAAACUUAAUAAGGUCAGCUGGUUUAGGAGGUUAACUUCAUUCAGGUAGGAACGCUGAUCAUGAUAGAUUUGAUUUUCUGCAGAUUCUGAUGUCUUGUUUGGGCACCACCAGAGUAAGUCGUUUGUCAUUUGAGGUUGCACUUUAAAUCCACACCUGUGAAGUUUUCUGCUGUUCAUCUAGAUCUGCCUGUGGGGAUGCUGGGCUAUACCUUGUUGGUCCAUCACCUUGCACCUUGAGGCCGGACUGGUUGUCCCCAUGUUUGUGGAUUUGCAGGAAGAGCUGACAGGCCUGCCUGUCCCUGUUUGCCGUUCUGGAUUCUCGUAGGCAUCUCCUGACAAAGGUACUUCGUGAUAAGCUCUGGUGGAAAUUUCUGAACAAUAAAAUAUAUGUCCAAAAUGG